CCCUUAGAUGUCCUGGGCCGCACGCGUGCUGCACUGAUGCAUACAGCGAGCACUUCCCGGCCCCGAAAGGCGGCUGGUAAUCAGCAAUAUGCAUCGUGAUGGGGAUAGUUCUUUGGAAUUCUUGAACUUGAACGAGGAAUGCCUAGUAGGCGCAAGUCAUUACCUUGCGUCGAUUAAGUCCCUGCCCUUUGUACACACCGCCCGUCGCUCCUACCGAUUCGAGUGGUCCGGUGAACCUUUCGGACUGAGAGUGGCCUCGAGUCGCUUUUAGAAAGUCAAGUAAACCACAUCACUUAGAGGAAGGAGAAGUCGUAACA
rnacentral:rRNA from 1 species